AACUUCUCCAAAUUAAUUCAGGACUUUCGUCUUGUAAUUGGAAUGAUGGUGAUGUACAACCUCACCAGAGUACCAAUUGGAGGGGAGUCUGGUGCCGCAGCCGCGGUAAUUCCAGCUCCAAUAGCGUAUAUUAAACUUGUUGCAGUUAAAAAGCUCGUAGUUGUAUUUCAGCCUCGCGUUUUUUCCCUCUUUUCGGGUCUGUUCGCUGGCUUUGUUUUUACUUUGAGAAAAUUAGAGUGUUUCAAGCAGACUUUUGUCUUGAAUACUUCAGCAUG
rnacentral:rRNA from 1 species